rnacentral:tRNA from 1 species
ACGACUAUAGCUCAAGUGGAUAGAGCAUUUGUCUUCUAAACAAAAGGUUGCAGGUUCGAGUCCUGCUAGUCGUACCA